UACGAAGGGGGCUAGCGUUGUUCGGAUUUACUGGGCGUAAAGCGCACGUAGGCGGAUUGUUAAGUCAGGGGUGAAAUCCCGGAGCUCAACUCCGGAACUGCCUUUGAUACUGGCAAUCUUGAGACUGGAAGAGGUUAGUGGAAUUCCCAGUGUAGAGAUGAAAUUCGUAGAUAUUGGGAAGAACACCAGUGGCGAAGGCGGCUAACUGGUCCAGUACUGACGCUGAGGUGCGAAAGCGUGGGGAGCAAACAGG
rnacentral:rRNA from 1 species